rnacentral:rRNA from 1 species
CCUACGGGUGGCAGCAGUGAGGAAUAUUGGUCAAUGGGCGGGAGCCUGAACCAGCCAAGCCGCGUGAGGGAAGAAGGUACAGCGUAUCGUAAACCUCUUUUGUCAGGGAACAAAGGCGGGGACUAGUCCCCGGAUGAGGGUACCUGAAGAAAAAGCAUCGGCUAACUCCGUGCCAGCAGCCGCGGUAAUACGGAGGAUGCGAGCGUUAUCCGGAUUUAUUGGGUUUAAAGGGAGCGUAGGCGGGUUGUUAAGUCAGUUGUGAAAGUUUGCGGCUCAACCGUAAAAUUGCAGUUGAUACUGGCAUCCUUGAGUACAGUAGAGGUAGGCGGAAUUCGUGGUGUAGCGGUGAAAUGCUUAGAUAUCACGAAGAACUCCGAUUGCGAAGGCAGCCUGCUGGACUGUAACUGACGCUGAUGCUCGAAAGUGUGGGUAUCAAACAGGAUUAGAUACCCUUGUAGUC